CAAUUCCAUACAGCCACUGUGCCAGUAUUUACCCUGCCUCAUUUUGUAAGCACCUUACCCCAACCCUACAAGACAGGUACUGUUAGCUUGAUGUUGCUAAAGAGGACACUAUGCUCAGGGAAAUGCCCUGACUGACUUGAAUCCCAGGUUCAGAGGUCUUUCUGAGGACUUCAGUGAGCCUGAAAGGAGCUGAUGAAGGGAUCUUGUCUCUCCAACAAAGAGGAUUAUUCCAGGAUGCUUUUUUAAACACCUAUGGAGGAGUUCCCAUUGUGGCUUAGUGGGUUAAUGACCCAACUAGUACCCAUGAGAAGGACCAUUUGAUCCCUAGCCUCAAUCAGUGGGUAAAGGAUCUGGCGUUGCUGCAAGCUGCAGCAUAGGUCGAAGAUGCAGCUUGGAUCUGGCAUUGCUUUGGCUGUGGUAUAAGCCAGCAGCUGCAGCUCUGACUCGAACCUUAGUCUUGGAACUUUCAUAUGCCACAGGUGCAGCCCUAAAAAUAAAAAUAAACCUCUGUUGAACUGCCCUCCACCCCCAUAUUCCAAUACACCCCAGAGCCAACACAUCAAGGAGAUUCUAGUUCUCCCCUUGAGCUGGAAUGACAAUUCUAGGAGGAACUGUUAUCAAGACACUCAAUUCCUCAGAUAUGGAGGGACUGAAAAUAAACAGAAAAUCACAGGGUUAUAGGUAACUCUGCUAUUGCAGUGGUGAUAUUGGAGUGGUGAUGUGUAUAAGUUAAAAAAAAAAUCAUGCCUGCAGAAUUGUGUGUGGGUGUGCUGUGGGGAUAGAUGAGAGAUGUUCCACUCCUGGCAGGGAAGUCACGCAGAAGGGGACUUUGGUAAGUAAGUAUAAAAGAGGAUGGAAAAGAAAUGAGAAGGUCCCUCCUGGGAACACUGCCCCCAUACAUGAAAACAACCCAAGAGAGCCUUCCAUUCUCAUCAUUCAGAGGAUGGAUGAGGUGUGUGGUUAUCUCAUCAGGCGACCCUGGCACCUUCUUAUUAUACAGAGUAUUUGAUAAACAUUUCUAGUAUACCACACACUGGAUCUGAUUUUUACAGAUCAAUAAAUGGGACAAAAACUGAGACUCUAAAUAGCUCAGGUGAUUCAGAUAGGAAUCAUAACAAGGUAGAAACACAAAUCCCCUGACUCCAAAGCCUUCGCCAUUCUUAGAUACUAAUUAACUAACAAUGUUGGAUUAAUUUGGAGGUAUUGUAGUGGUCGAUCAUGUGGCUGAAUAUUUAAUUCGGUAGUAAUCAUUUCAGGAUGUUUCUCUGAAAUUAUUCCAAUUAGUGUUCUUUUUUUUCUUAAUUGCACAUGCACACAUACACAUAUAGUCAUUUAAUAAUUCAGAAAACAUGUACUUGAAUUUAAAUAAUAUUAAGUGUCUGCCACCCCCACUGGGUUGUGAGUUUUAGCGGCGCACAUGGAUAAAUAGCAUGUAAUGCAGGGUCUGGUGCAUGUUAAUACUUAAUAAAUAUUUCACAUUAAUCAGUCUCUUCUUACAAGACAGUUUGCUACAAGCUAUGUAUGUAGAUGUCAGCUUAUUGUCUUUCUACAUCAGAGGAGUUAAGAGAAGAAAAGAGGCAGGACCCAGCAGUUAUAAUUUAUCACUCUGUCCAGUGGACCCCACUCUGACAGCAGUCUCAUCUCUCUUCCUAACACGCAGACUUUCUCUCCUCUGGCUUCCUUCUGUCCCUGUUCCUCUCAUAAACCUUUUUUCCUUUCUUUUCAUCCUUUCUUUUUCUUUUUCUCAUAGUUUGACAUUGUAUCAGCUACAGCCGCCCCUUACAAAUCACCUCUAACCUUCACUUCUCAUAUUCACUCUUGCUUACUUCACUCUUGGCUCAAAGCAUCAGUUCCCUGAAGGCUUGUCCUUCUAAUAAUCAGGCUCUUAGGCUCUUCCCUUGAGGCAACUGGGAUUUUUUAAGUUGGUUGAGACAUAAAGAUGUCCAGACGGCUCCAUUUUGUGGGGUUUAAUAAUACAAAAUAGACGGUUCAAAUGUAUUCAUUUGAUUUACAAAUACACUGCUUUUUCAUUGAGAUCUCUGAGAGGAAAUAUUUGUAUAAUUAUGCCUAUAUUUUAGUAAAACUGGUUGUAUGUCUACUUAAGGCAUGAGUUUUUUAAUGGAGCAUAAUCUAAUACUUAAUUUAAAAUACUUUCAGCAAACUUUUGGUUCUAUGUGGCCAUUGUUACUUGUAUGAAUAUUACUGCUAAUUUUGUAAACAAAGACAAAUGGCUUGGAUUUUACGGAAGUUAUUUUGAAGGUCCUCAUAAUUUGCAAUGAAAGCUUAAUGUUUUAUUUAGCAUAUAAUUAGUCAAAGAACCAGUUGAAAUGUAUAGAUAUGAAUGAAGGGACAUUAAUGGGAGCUGUUUCCUUUUGUGAAAAUACUACAAACAGAAAGAGUUUAGUCCAUUACCAAUUUAGGAAACAUCUUCCAACACUAUAAAUUAUUUGGAUAAGAUAACAUGCAUUCCCACCCCCCACCCCCCAACUCUGGAAAGCCAGGCCAAGCCACUUUGAGCAGAAAACAGAUUCAAUGGCCAUCAGCCCACAGAAACUCAGUGGGCCUCUCUGGCAGGGCAUGAAGCUGUUUGAUUCUUGGUCUAAUUAGACAUACUCCCUCCGGGACUCUGUCUCGAAGUCAAAGCUAAGGCUUGCCUUGUUCCCUCGAAGCAAUGGGGAAAUCCAUUUCAAUUCAGCAGUGUUCCCUUGAUUUGAACACAUUUGGGGACUUGGAAGCAUAGCGGAAUAAACUCAAGGGUUCAGUCUGGAGCUGCCAGUUAGCAGAAUUGGCAGGCACUCCUCCUAAGCUUUUCGGUUUAAAGAGGCUGCUUCCCUCCCACGAGGAAGAAGCCAGAGCCAUAUGGCCCAAACCCCAAGUGGCUCUCCUCCAUGCUUGUGGUUUCCCUGAACCUUAUUUCCCAAGCUUGAGGUCUGCCAUAAGUUCUGGGAUGGCAGAUACAUUUAGUCAUGAUUUUGUAGCUGGUGGGAAAGACAGACACAACUCAAUUCCAAAGAUACGGAAGGUGUGCCUACUAUGGAGCAGACAUCCUCCUGUGCUGAAGGAGAUGGAGAGGCCAUCAUCCUUGCCUUUAAGUUCUGUGGCUUUUUCUAUGGCUGUCAGUUGAUUCCUCUCCAUACAAAUACAAGGACAAUUAGGGGAAUGUUGAUAUUACAAUGUUAUAAAAAAUUAGAAAGGGUGCUGUAUUUGGAAUCAUAUGACUCUGUUUGAUCCCUGGUGCAAGCAUUUACAGGUUUCUUGCAAACCCAAUUUACUAAGUAAACACUUCCUGAAUACGAUAUAUAUUUUGUUCACAUUGCUAAGUUUUAAGGAUAAAAUAUUAAUGAGAAAUGAUCAUUGUCUUCAACACUUUUAUGUCAUCUGAGUUUAUUUCUUUCCCAUCUAUUGAAAAUAUCAUUAUAAUAGUUACUGAACUUUUUACCUCAUUAAGCUAUUUUGGGAAUCAUAUAUGAUAGUGUACAUAAAAAAUAUUCACUGUAAAAGAUUAUACAAAUAUAUGUGGUAGAUUUGUAUAGUUUAUUAUGUUUAAGUAAUACUCAAGGUAUGAAGUAUCCAAACAGGUAUAUCCUGGUGUAAGAGAAAUAAAACAAGAAAACACCUUUCUGAAAUUUCAGACUAUUGUUUUGUCCUGUACAACAGUGGUUCUGAAAGUGCAGUUCUUGGAUAAGUACUGUCAGCGUUACCUGAUCACCCAUGCACUUAGAAAUGGAAAUUUGGUGACCCCAACUGAGACCUAAUGAGUUAGAAACUCUAGGGGUAGGGACUAACCCUUGUUUUAACAAGCCCUCCGUGUGACAUAUAACCCAUCAAAGUAGAAAAUGCUCACUAGAGAUCACCUUGUCUUCCCCCGCUUAAAACAUAGUGCCUUUCCAAGGCUAGUGCCACUUAGGCCAGCAGUUUUUCAAAGAUCUCUGAAACUGCAGGGUUCGAAUCUGAGAAGAGAUGGAAACUCAAGAGAAGUCUGAUUCACGCAACUUCACAUUGCUUCAUCUUUCUCUAAAGGUAAUACUUCCAUUGACCAGAUGUUUACUGAACAAACACUAUAUACCAGACAUUGCAUCCAAUUGUUUGUUUGUUUGUUUGUUUGUUUGGCCAUGCCUACAGCAUACAGAAGUUUCCAGGCCAGAAUAAUACCAGGCCAUAGCAAUGACAAUGCCAAAUCCUUAACCUGCUGAGCCACCAGGGAACUCCUGCAUUCAAUUAUUUUUUGUAGCUCUCACAUGGCCCUGCCUUAUUCAAAUGUCUUGAUAUAUUUUUUCAAAAAAUUUAAAGACAUAUUCUGACAUUGUUAUUAAGGCCUGGAUGAUAACUUUAUCCAUUUUUUUGCUCUGAGAUCCAUUUCCUUUUUUUUCCCCCCUCCCUAAUUUUUAUUGUCUUUUUCCAUCAAUAAAAAGCCAGAGAAGACAAUGGGGGCUAAUACAUUGAAGCAUUUUCCCCAUGUACAACAAGACUUUAUUGGAAACUCUCCAUGGGAAGCCUGUCUUUGUUUUACUGCAAUUCUGCAAUAACCUGGCAACUCUGAAGAGGCAAUUCUAUCUUGAAAGCUGAAACAUCUUACUGCUUGCCAAAAGCAAGAGGGACCGGCACUUGGGGAUUUGAGAAGAUUUUAUGUAUUUGGAGGAACAUUCCCUUGAUUAUAUUCUCUUCAGAGACCAGAACCAAGGUAUUCAGAAACAGCUGCGUAAUGGGAAGUGCCGGUUUAGAUGCUGCAUGUUCAAUUAAUUGGUCCCAUACAGCCCUUCCUGAGAGGAAGACUUCCGAGCAGUGGUUAGAACACAAGAGCUGAGCUGCAUGUGAACCUUUUGUUUACAGCAUUUCGUCAUUUAUUCACACUUUCUGAUAGUUAAUUUAGCAAAUUGAGUGCUUACUUUGUCCAGCUUCCUCUGUUUCUGUAUCCCUAGGUCAUUUCUGCUUUGCCUCUCAGAAAAUUUCAGGGCCUUUAUAAAGUAGAAAAAAAAAAAAAAAAAAA
rnacentral:lncRNA from 1 species